AUUGAACGCUGGCGGCAGGCCUAACACAUGCAAGUCGAGCGAGUGGCGGACGGGUGAGUAAUGUCUGGGAAACUGCCUGAUGGAGGGGGAUAACUACUGGAAACGGUAGCUAAUACCGCAUUCCAUCAGAUGUGCCAAGGUGGGAUUAGCUAGUAGGUGGGGUAACGGCUCACCUAGGGGACGAACCCUAGCUGGUCUGAGAGGGUGACCAGCCACACGGGACAUGAAACACAGGCGAGUCUCCUGAGGGAGGCAGCAGUGGGGAAUAUUGCAGAAUGGGCGGAAGCCUGAUGCAGCCAUGCCGAGUGUGUGAAGAAGGCAUUCGGGUUGUAAAGCACUUUCAGCGGGGAGGCGUUACCCGCAGAAGAAGCACCGGCUAACUCCGUGCCAGCAGCCGCGGUAAUUC
rnacentral:rRNA from 1 species